CUCGGGGGGAGCAAGCGUGGUUCGGAAUCACUGGGCGUAAAGGGCGUGUAGGCGGUCAGGUAAGUGGGAUGUGAAAUGCCUCGGCUCACCCGAGGCACUGCAUUCCAAACUGCUUGGCUUGAGUAUGGGAGAGGAUGAGGGAAUUCCUGGUGUAGCGGUGAAAUGCGUAGAUAUCAGGAGGAACACCGGUGGCGAAGGCGCUCAUCUGGCCCAAUACUGACGCUGAGGCGCGAAAGCUAGGGGAGCAAACGGG
rnacentral:rRNA from 1 species